rnacentral:rRNA from 1 species
GAGAACUCGGGUGAAGGAACUAGGCAAAAUGGUACCGUAACUUCGGGAGAAGGUACGCUCUUGAUGGUGAAGUCCCUUGCGGAUGGAGCUGACGAGAGUCGCAGAUACCAGGUGGCUGCAACUGUUUAUUAAAAACACAGCACUGUGCAAAAUCGUAAGAUGACGUAUACGGUGUGACGCCUGCCCGGUGCCGGAAGGUUAAUUGAUGGGGUUAGACUUCGGUCGAAGCUCUUGAUCGAAGCCCCGGUAAACGGCGGCCGUAACUAUAACGGUCCUAAGGUAGCGAAAUUCCUUGUCGGGUAAGUUCCGACCUGCACGAAUGGCGUAAUGAUGGCCACGCUGUCUCCACCCGAGACUCAGUGAAAUUGAAAUCGCUGUGAAGAUGCAGUGUACCCGCGGCUAGACGGAAAGACCCCGUGAACCUUUACUACAGCUUGGCACUGAACAUUGACCCUACAUGUGUAGGAUAGGUGGGAGGCUUUGAAGCACGUACGCCAGUAUGUGUGGAGCCGUCCUUGAAAUACCACCCUUGUAGUGUUGAUGUUCUAACGUCGACCCCUUAUCGGGGUUGCGGACAGUGCCUGGUGGGUAGUUUGACUGGGGCGGUCUCCUCCCAAAGAGUAACGGAGGAGCACGAAGGUGGGCUAAUCACGGUUGGACAUCGUGAGGUUAGUGCAAUGGCAUAAGCCCGCUUGACUGCGAGAAUGACAAUUCGAGCAGGUGCGAAAGCAGGUCAUAGUGAUCCGGUGGUUCUGAAUGGAAGGGCCAUCGCUCAACGGAUAAAAGGUACUCCGGGGAUAACAGGCUGAUACCGCCCAAGAGUUCAUAUCGACGGCGGUGUUUGGCACCUCGAUGUCGGCUCAUCACAUCCUGGGGCUGAAGUCGGUCCCAAGGGUAUGGCUGUUCGCCAUUUAAAGUGGUACGCGAGCUGGGUUUAGAACGUCGUGAGACAGUUCGGUCCCUAUCUGCCGUGGGCGUUGGAAGAUUGAAGGGGGCUGCUCCUAGUACGAGAGGACCGGAGUGGACGAACCUCUGGUGUUCGGGUUGUGUCGCCAGACGCAUUGCCCGGUAGCUAAGUUCGGAAUCGAUAACCGCUGAAAGCAUCUAAGCGGGAAGCGAGCCCUGAGAUGAGUCUUCCCUGAUACUUUAAGUAUCCUAAAGGGUUGUCGGAGACUACGACGUUGAUAGGUCAGGUGUGUAAGUGCUGUGAGGCAUUGAGCUAACUGAUACUAAUUGCCCGUGAGGCUUAACCAUACAACACCCAAGGGGUUU